AGAGUUUGAUCAUGGCUCAGAUUGAACGCUGGCGGCAGGCCUAACACAUGCAAGUCGAACGGUAACAGGAAGCAGCUUGCUGCUUUGCUGACGAGUGGCGGACGGGUGAGUAAUGUCUGGGAAACUGCCUGAUGGAGGGGGAUAACUACUGGAAACGGUAGCUAAUACCGCAUAACGUCGCAAGACCAAAGAGGGGAACCUUCGGGCCUCUUGCCAUCGGAUGUGCCCAGAUGGGAUUAGCUAGUAGGUGGGGUAACGGCUCACCUAGGCGACGAUCCCUAGCUGGUCUGAGAGGAUGACCAGCCACACUGGAACUGAGACACGGUCCAGACUCCUACGGGAGGCAGCAGUGGGGAAUAUUGCACAAUGGGCGCAAGCCUGAUGCAGCCAUGCCGCGUGUAUGAAGAAGGCCUUCGGGUUGUAAAGUACUUUCAGCGGGGAGGAAGGGAGUAAAGUUAAUACCUUUGCUCAUUGACGUUACCCGCAGAAGAAGCACCGGCUAACUCCGUGCCAGCAGCCGCGGUAAUACGGAGGGUGCAAGCGUUAAUCGGAAUUACUGGGCGUAAAGCGCACGCAGGCGGUUUGUUAAGUCAGAUGUGAAAUCCCCGGGCUCAACCUGGGAACUGCAUCUGAUACUGGCAAGCUUGAGUCUCGUAGAGGGGGGUAGAAUUCCAGGUGUAGCGGUGAAAUGCGUAGAGAUCUGGAGGAAUACCGGUGGCGAAGGCGGCCCCCUGGACGAAGACUGACGCUCAGGUGCGAAAGCGUGGGGAGCAAACAGGAUUAGAUACCCUGGUAGUCCACGCCGUUAAACGAUGUCGACUUGGAGGUUGUGCCCUUGAGGCGUGGCUUCCGGAGCUAACGCGUUAAGUCGACCGCCUGGGGAGUACGGCCGCAAGGUUAAAACUCAAAUGAAUUGACGGGGGCCCGCACAAGCGGUGGAGCAUGUGGUUUAAUUCGAUGCAACGCGAAGAACCUUACCUGGUCUUGACAUCCACGGAAGUUUUCAGAGAUGAGAAUGUGCCUUCGGGAACCGUGAGACAGGUGCUGCAUGGCUGUCGUCAGCUCGUGUUGUGAAAUGUUGGGUUAAGUCCCGCAACGAGCGCAACCCUUAUCCUUUGUUGCCAGCGGUCCGGCCGGGAACUCAAAGGAGACUGCCAGUGAUAAACUGGAGGAAGGUGGGGAUGACGUCAAGUCAUCAUGGCCCUUACGACCAGGGCUACACACGUGCUACAAUGGCGCAUACAAAGAGAAGCGACCUCGCGAGAGCAAGCGGACCUCAUAAAGUGCGUCGUAGUCCGGAUUGGAGUCUGCAACUCGACUCCAUGAAGUCGGAAUCGCUAGUAAUCGUGGAUCAGAAUGCCACGGUGAAUACGUUCCCGGGCCUUGUACACACCGCCCGUCACACCAUGGGAGUGGGUUGCAAAAGAAGUAGGUAGCUUAACCUUCGGGAGGGCGCUUACCACUUUGUGAUUCAUGACUGGGGUGAAGUCGUAACAAGGUAACCGUAGGGGAACCUGCGGUUGGAUCACCU
rnacentral:rRNA from 1 species